GUGUAUGUGCGUGUGUGCAUGCAUACGUAUGUGUGAGCUGGGCUAAGUGUGAGUGUGUGUGUGUGUGUGUGAGUUGGGAUUAUUAUGUUUGUGUGUGUAUGUGUGUGAGAGAAAAAGAGAGCUUGGGGUAAGUUAAAAUUUUCACGCAAGUCCGAGUUUUCGUUCUAUUCUUGUCAUUUUGCGAUUAGCCUAUAUGGAAUUGACGAUGAGAAAGUAAUCUAUUCAACAGCAAAUUGUUUACAACGUGUGUAUGUUUUCUGCUGUUGUUGCCAGUUAUUUGUGGAAUGUGAAUGCAUUCUGUCGCCUCGGAUGUCAAGACAUGAAAGUGAAUGUUCGCAUAAAAACAUAAUGAAUGUGUUUGAGAGGAUAUAUAAAACCGUUACAAUCUGACUAUUGGCCUGUUAUAUCCUAUUUGUUGCAUAACAACGGUCGAAGUUCAACUACCAACGACAGUUUUGCUUGACAACGGUAAAAUAUGCCCAAACGGCUGCAGAAGCAUAUUUCAAUUUCAGGUGAUUAAAUCGAUAAAAAAUAAUAAAUACAAAAGUAACCAUAUAUAGUCAUUGUUGGUAACCCGUUGUAUAUAAGUGGAAUAAACCCCUCUGGGCUGUCCCGGUUAUUAGAAAAUAAUGUAGGCUACUUCGGUGGUAGUAUGGGGUUACAGAAGAAAUCAUAGAAAUCACAGAUGGACCGACAACAACGUCGCUUUUUCAUACGUCAGUGGGCUAAUUUGCCUAAUCUUCGCGGGACUUUAGACCGCGGUGGAAACGCAGACAACAAUGGGCUGAAGGAAUCUUUUAAGCCACGUUUCCACCAAAAGUACCCGGAACUACUUUUCAAGGAACUAAAAGGUUCCUUGAAAAGUAGUCCGAGUUUUCAUUCUAUAUAUUCUUGUCACUUUGCGAUUAUAUGGAAAUGACGAUGAGAGUCGAAUUAAUCAAUUCAACAGCAAAUUGUUUACGUGUGUAUGUUUUCUGCUAUGAAUGUUGUUACCAGUUACGAAUGUGAAUGCAUUCUGUUGCCUCGGAUGUCAAGACAUGAAAGUGAAUGUUCGCAUAAAAACAUAGCUAAUGAAUGUGUUUGAGAGGAUAUAAAACAGUUACAAUCUGUAUAUUGCCCUGUUAUAUCCAGUUUAUUGCAUAACAACGGUCCAAGUCGAACUACCAAUGAGAGUUUUGUUUGACAACGGUAAAAUAAUAUACCCAAACGGCCGCGGAUAAAAAUCAAUAAAUAGCCUACUAAAAUAACCAUAUAUAGUCAUUGUUGGUAACCUGUUGUAUAAGUGGAAUAAACCCCUCCGGGCUGUCCCGUUAUUGGAAAAUAAUGUACUUUGGUGAUCUAACGCAUCAAAGUUAAAUUAAAGCCGCAAGUGGCGUUGGGAGGGGUCCAAGCAUUGGCACAAGUACGCCCCCUAUGGAGUGAUUUUUUAAUGGUUUUGUCCUCUUAAUCAUAUACCUUCACCCAACAUAUCUACUGCAUCGCCAUGGAUGUCUCCUAGCCGCUAGGCGUGAAGGCCUUUACUACGUGGUAACACUAAAGGCUGUUUUAUACUUCCGCAUAGUACACGUAAAAAUGGGUCUGUGUAGGGGUUGUGCGCAAUGUGCAGCAUGUGCGACGGUUGCGGACCACGGCUCAAGAAAUUAAAAGCGUGUAGUUAGUAACCAGUGCCCGCAUACGCCGUAAAUAAGAUGAUUGGUUGACUGCUGACAUGAGGUCACUGGUAUACGGCUCUGACUAACAGCUUAUAACAAUUGAUUCACAAAACCGAUAGGCAACGUUAAAUAUGAGACUAAAAGCGCUUUUGUCAGGUGAAUGUCUUCGUUGCAACAAGUUACAUCUAGCUGAGCAUUUUUGUGGUCAUUGGUGCAGUAUUUAGUAGGUUUUGAAAUAUGAAAGGUGUUGUUGUCUUUUGAACUAUAACGGUAAGUAACAAAAUCUAAUUACGUGGCCUGCGCAACCUGUGCAAUAUGCUGCACAAAUGAUUUGGCCCUUCGCGAGUGCCGCACACAACGGAAACUAUGCAGACUACGCAAAAUUAUAAAACAGCAUUUAGAUGGUCCGGCGUGUAUGUAGAGCUGCAGCGCUUCCGUGCCGCAACUAAAAUAGGCGUCAAACACAUAUUCCAAUCCAUUGCUCAUUUUAGCAGAGAAUGCACAUUUCAGAGCGCCUCAGAGACAGAUAGAAUAAUAACACAUAAAUACGCAUUUCAAAUGAUAAAUACGACAUUGAGAAAAAAACGAAACAAAAGACGAAAUUUCAACUCGCGACCUGCGUGCUGCGCGCAGAGUAGCGUAUUAUUUAUUUAGACAUUGGCAGAUAAGAAAAUGUUCGGUUACGCUGACCUAUAAAACGCUAUUCCAAAAGCAAAAUCAGACAUGUUAUACAUCGUUAGAAAGCUUAUACUCUCACCUACUGAAUAAAUGAAUUGUCAAUCAAACCAAAUUGUACUAAAAAGGGUGACAACGCCGUAAGCAACAGGUGUGGUAUUACGCACAGCUGUUUUUGAAGGUAGCCUACCCAGUUAUCACAAAUGCGCGUAUAUUUCACAAACGGAUUGUCCAAGACAAUAUAUGACGACUCAUUCACAAAAGGGACAUCUCUACGCGUAAAACCAAUGGCAAGAUUGUAUAUUUAUUAAAUGCUUAGUCCCAGAUAUUGACUGUAUAAUUACAUGGUAUAAUUUAAAAAAACUUUGUCUCGUUUAUUUCGUUAUUCAGUGAGCAGCGUUUUCACUGCUGUAUUGGCAUAUUUUAGGGCUAAUGUCGGGUUUAUCUUGUUGCUACGGAAUAUUACAUUACAUUACAGGCAUUUGGCAGAUGCUCUUAUCCAGAGCGACGUAUAACAAAGUGUAUAAUCAUAAUCAGGAACAAGUGUGUCGAAAACCCUAGAGAGAACUACCGUUCCAAGUGCAGGGAACAACCGCAUAGUUCAACUUGGAACUUGUAGGUUAAACUGGUUAACACUAACACAAACAAGAACAGCAACAACGCAGUCUAUGCAAAAAUACAAGCAAUAGUUAAGACGAGUGCAUUAACUAAGUCACCUACGAAACAGCUAACUAGUUACAACCCUAAGCUUACAGUCAAUUUAGAGAUUAAAUUUAGAAUAUGAUUUCUCUCAGCAUAAUGACGGAUUCAAAGACUAAA